rnacentral:rRNA from 1 species
GAUGAACGCUAGCGGCAGGCCUAAUACAUGCAAGUCGGACGGGAUUCAGGAGCUUGCUUCUGAUGAGAGUGGCGCACGGGUGCGUAACACGUAUGUAACCUACCUUUAUCAGGGGGAUAGCCUCCCGAAAGAGAGAUUAAGCCCGCAUAAAAUCACAGCACAGCAUUGUGUAAUGAUCAAAUAUUUAUAGGAUAAAGAUGGGCAUGCGGAACAUUAGCUAGAUGGAGGGGUAACGGCCCACCAUGGCGACGAUGUUUAGGGGAACUGAGAGGAUGGCCCCCCACACUGGUACUGGGACACGGACCAGACUCCUACGGGAGGCAGCGGUAAGGAAUAUUGGUCAAUGGGCGGAAGCCUGAACCAGCCAUGCCGCGUGCAGGAAGACGGGCCUACGGGUUGUAAACUGCUUUUAUGCGGGAAUAAACCCAGAUACGUGUAUCUGGCUGAAUGUACUGUAAGAAUAAGGAUCGGCUAACUCCGUG